GUCUAUGGCCAUACCACCCUGAACUCGCCUGAUCUCAUCUGAUGUUAGAAGCUAAGCAGGGUUUGGCCUGGUUAGUACUUAAAAGGGAGAAAUUGUAAUUU
rnacentral:rRNA from 1 species